AAAGCAGAGAGACGAACUAGAACAGUGGAAAUUAUGUGUCCUUCUCAUGCCAUGUCAACUGUCGGCUGGAAGAUGCGACAUAACCCCAUAGACAACAGCACGGAGCACAAGGUGAAAUGUUGUGAAUUACUCCUGGUGCCCAGCGAGAUUCAAGAGGCCGUGUCGGACGGUGAAACGUGACGUCAUCAUUUCAUCACUGCAACGCUCAGCACUCUACUCCACUCCACUUGACUGCACAACCUUCGUGUUCCGGAAAUCCAGCGACUGGACUUCAUUAAGUUUAGGCGAAUCGUGCUGGCCACGAACAUCUUUUUAUCUAGGGAACUUUUAAACUUGCUAAUCAACUGAAAAAUGAUUGUGGUGACUUGGUUUGAUUAACAAAGUCACAAACAAACAGAUAAAUCUUUAAAAUGAUACUUCAAUUUUAAUUCGAAUCUUUAACAUUAAGUAUCGAUCGGGACAACGAAAUUGUAAAGAGAAAGUUAAAAUUGUAGCUGUAGGGACUAAAUUCUUAAUGUUAGGAAUUUAAUUAAUAAUUAGUCAAAGUUACAUGAUCCUGUCGUGUGAUUUUGUGGCAUGAAAUAACUUUAAACUAACUUAUUUGUUGCAUGUUUUUCAAAUGCUAUAUAAUGACAUAUUUUCAAUAUUCAUCUUCUAUCUUCUAUGUUCUAAAGUUUUUCGAUAACGUCGAGUUAUUAUAAUUUUUUAUAUUUGGUGCAACUUCAUAUUUUUUCAUUGAUAUACUUUUACGUUUUUGAAUGCGCUGUUCAAUAAACGAUAAACUCUUUGUUUAACGACUUUAGCUAAUUCGUAAAAGCAUAAUUCGUUAAGUUCCAUAGCAAAUCUAUUGAUUAUAAUAUUAUCUAUUAGAUCCUAAAAUAAUUGACGUAUAGCUCUAGCUAGUUUAAUGCUCACAAAUCCAUACCUAAAUUAUUUAUUACUAUUCUCUUUUCGCUCAGCUUACGACGGACUUUGGCAUCGUUAAACUCUUCUUUUAUUUCAAAAUGUUAAGUUUAUUUCCAACUUGUUGCAUCGUUUUUGAUUGAGUGAAAACAAAAGAAUUGUGUGCGUAGUGCGAUCAGUACAUUUAGCCUAGAUAGUAAGCGAGACGUGCUAUUUAUUUCAUGUUCUACAUAGGUCAAUUGUAUUUUGAUUUCAAUCCCCUUAUAAUUUCAAACCAAAAUCA